UACGUAGGUGGCAAGCGUUGUCCGGAUUUAUUGGGUUUAAAGGGUGCGUAGGCGGCCCUGUAAGUCAGUGCUGAAAUAUCCCGGCUUAACCGGGAGGGUGGCAUUGAUACUGCGGGGCUAGAGUACAGAUGAGGUAGGCGGAAUUGACGGUGUAGCGGUGAAAUGCUUAGAUAUCAGGAGGAACACCGGUGGCGAAGGCGGAUCUCUGGGCCUUACCUGACGCUGAGGCGCGAAAGCUAGGGGAGCGAACAGG
rnacentral:rRNA from 1 species